GAUGAACGCUGGCGGCGUGCCUAAUACAUGCAAGUCGAGCGAACAGACGAGGAGCUUGCUCCUCUGACGUUAGCGGCGGACGGGUGAGUAACACGUGGAUAACCUACCUAUAAGACUGGGGUAACUUCGGGAAACCGGAGCUAAUACCGGAUAACAUGUUGAACCGCAUGGUUCAACAGUGAAAGACGGUCUUGCUGUCACUUAUAGAUGGAUCCGCGCCGCAUUAGCUAGUUGGUAAGGUAACGGCUUACCAAGGCAACGAUGCGUAGCCGACCUGAGAGGGUGAUCGGCCACACUGGAACUGAGACACGGUCCAGACUCCUACGGGAGGCAGCAGUAGGGAAUCUUCCGCAAUGGGCGAAAGCCUGACGGAGCAACGCCGCGUGAGUGAUGAAGGUCUUCGGAUCGUAAAACUCUGUUAUUAGGGAAGAACAAAUGUGUAAGUAACUAUGCACGUCUUGACGGUACCUAAUCAGAAAGCCACGGCUAACUACGUG
rnacentral:rRNA from 1 species